AAGGGAGACCUAAUUCAGGUAGGAGACGAAAAAAAAGUAGCCCCUACCAAGAAUCAAUCCCAAAAGGUCGGAGCGAGGCGAAAUUGGCUUUCAAACUAGGUUCUGGGUUCACACAAGACCUGAAUCAGGAACAAGGGCUAUUAGCUCAGGUGGUUAGAGCGCACCCCUGAUAAGGGUGAGGUCCCUGGUUCGAGUCCAGGAUGGCCCACCUGCACAGGUGGCAAAAACAAGAGAAGCGAGGAAUCAGCACCUUAUCUUACUUAUAUAGUAAGAGAGAAUGCUGGCUCUGAGUUCAGAGUCCAGAGGAACCUUGAAAACUGCAUAGAGCUAGGUGAAAAAGCCAAAAAAGAAGACCGCAA
rnacentral:tRNA from 1 species